rnacentral:lncRNA from 1 species
AAAGCUCCCCCUGAGUUAGCACUAGGGAGUUCAGAAGUUCUUACCAGAGCUUUCCAAGCAAUAAGAUUUCUGAAAACUUUCUGCAAUUUCUUAAUUUUAAUGUUAGAACUAUUUAAUCAGAGCUAUUGUUUAAACAGAGCUAAUUUAUAUCAGAACUAUUUCUAUAAUUGUUGCAGAAUGCUUAAGGUUUUAGACAUAGUUUUCAUCAGAGCUAUUUAAUAAUUUCUCCCCCUUUUUGGCAUAAUCAAAAAGGCAUAAAA